AAACCAAAUCACCAAUUACUGUAGAAAUAGUUAAUUCACAAGAUUAUUGUCGCGUUAAAACUAGCUUAUUUGCAGCCACCGCACACCAAGAAUGUAAAACUUAGUGCAGCAUCAAUGGCAAGAGGAUUAGCUAAGCUAACCCCUGAUUGUUCUGAAUCCAGGCUUUGCAGUCAUCUAAUCAUACAACAAAUAUGUAAACCAAACAAGG
rnacentral:misc_RNA from 1 species